AAUCAUAGAGAAAGACUUUUGGAUCAUGGAGAUAUAAAAGACACAAGUUAGGAUGUCUAGAGAGAGAAACGAGAAGAAGAAGAGGGUCUUCUUCUAGGGUUAUUUGUUUUCAUAUCUUUCCUCCCUCCAUCUUGAGUUUUUUGAGAGCGUCUCAGAUUUGAAACUCCUCCUUUUACUUUCCAUCUUUGAAAGGGUCCAAAUCAAGAAGAAGAAGGUACCUGAUCAACCAUCAAAGAAGGAUCAGCGCAGUACUAGCAUAUUGUACUGAUUUUCUGAAGCAGGACUUCUGAUCGAGAUUCGUGGGCUCGUGUGGAUGACUCCUAGAGGUCGGAUGCGUGUGCGGCUUGUAACAUCAUCCUUAAGCCCAGAUCAGCGAGGUUAGAACAUCUAACUUGCAAGGUAAUAGAUCUGAUCUAUUGUUUAAUACAUACAUUAGAUGUAGUAUAGAAACAUGUUGAUAUGAUCAACAUGUAGUUCAUGCUAUAUUUAUAUAUUUUAAUUUUUGAUUUAAUGCUAUGUAAUAAUCAUAUAAUAAGAUCUUAGAUCUAGAGAUUCUCUAAUUUUAGAAAAUAAUUUUAAUUUAUUUUAGUCUUCCGCUGUAUGAUCUUGAAAAAGU
rnacentral:lncRNA from 1 species